UCAAUUGGUUCUUCAUCAGUUUCAUCAAAUAUGGGUGAAGAAUCUGAAAAAUCUUUAAAUUCUUCAAAACAAUUUUCAGAUUCACCUUGGGUUUUCUUACUGAUGGAAAAGGAUGGCUCAGCUACUGGGGCACGUGUGGAUGUGUUCUUCUUUUGGCUCUUGCUGACGUCCUUGAGGGCUUUGUCCACACCCUUCACAAAGUUAUCACAAAAUUGUUGGACAUCAAACUGAAGCAAUCGCCUUCUUGGAUCAGAUUCACCUUUGGAUGUAUUGACAUGCUCAUUGCUCCACCUGUUUGGUUUUUCCUGCACACUAACACACUCAUCAAAAUAAUUCAAAGAAGAUUUAAAUGAAGAUUGAGAGGCUGAUGGUCGUGAGGCUUUCUCCUUGGUAUUUCUCCGGUGAAGACCAAACAUCUUAUUCCUGAAAUAAUUACUCAACACAAAGGUUAGAUAAAUCCUCACACACUCAAGUGUUUAUCCUCACCCACUCAAGUGUUUCUCUCAGAUUUAGGUGAUCACACACAAGUUUCUACUCAAUAUUCUAAGAGAACAAAUCAAAGAAUCUCAAUGGGCAAAUCCAAGCAAACAAGGGAAUUUCUGAAGAUAGAAAGAUAAGAGAUUUUUUUUUUUUUUUGAUUUUUGAAAUCCGUUUUAACCACCUCAAAGGCUGGAUUUCUCCUCAGCCAGCAGGCUUUCUCUUCCACCACCAAUCCACAAAAGAAACUUUGAACUUUUUCUAUAUUUUUUUUUUCUUUUUUGAAUCAAAUCGUAAAUCUUUUUUUUAUAUGGAUGGUAAUGAGGGGCCCAGAUUUAAGAAAGGUAGAAGAAGAAGUGUUUAUAAGAAAAUAGAAGAUGGGAAAGAUGAAUGAAAUAGACAAUACCGGAAGAGUGGCUCUGAUACCACUUGAUAGAACCAAAAUAAGGAUGACUCUUUCGGUAAGGUUGAUAUGAACUCAGAUCCGAGAGGAUUGAGAACUGAUGGAUCGAGGGGUGACACUAAGGGUUGCGGAAUAGCCCAAAGAUACUACCAGACUUCGAUCGUUGCCGGAUGUGAUGCACCGGUCCAACAAAAGAAGGAUCAAAACUUGGAGAUAACCUCACCAAGAAACUAAGAAGUGUUCUAAACAAAGAACAAAGAGAGUAAAAAUUCAAAAGAAUGAAAGCAAAACGAAUUUAUCUUAUUCAGAUCUGAUGGUUACAUUAUAUAGAAGUUCUAGUCAAAGGACUUAAAGAAAAUUGUGGGAAAUCUAAACAUAGAAAAUGAUAAAAUUGACCAGAUCUGGUCAAGGCACGAAAUCACACUUUGACUGGUGAAAAACCCUUCAAAUUCCGUCCAGGUUCAUUGUGUCCUGAAGCAUGUCCUACGGACUGGGCCAGUACACAAGCAGGACAGUCCAAAGUAGCCAGUUUUGAAGUGUCACGGCCUAUCUUGAGUUCCACUCGUCCGAAUCCAAAUCUGUCUUGACCGUUGCUCUUAAAAUGCCAAUCAGUACGGAAAUACGAGCUCCAGUUUGGUGAAUUCGAUCGUCUGGACAUGGGUAUUGUUGAAGCCUCAAACUGGUCGUACGGGCAGUACGUGCGGUACAGUACAGAAUUGAGUUGCGAUGGACUGGAGAAGAAUUGGUACGUCCAUUUCGGAUUCUGGCUCGAUUGUUGGUCUAAUAACAAACAGUGCAGUAAAGCCAAGCUUCAGUUUGGUGAAUUCCAUCAUCAGGUCGUGGAUAAUGUUGGAGCUCCAAUACGGACAUCCGGGCGGUACAUGCGGUACUGUCCAGAAAUGUAUAGCAAUGACCUAACUCAGGAUUCGUGUGUCCGAAUGCGAGGGGCCCAGAUUUAAGAAAGGUAGAAGAAGAAGUGUUUAUAAGAAAAUAGAAGAUGGGAAAGAUGAAUGAAAUAGACAAUACCGGAAGAGUGGCUCUGAUACCACUUGAUAGAACCAAAAUAAGGAUGACUCUUUCGGUAAGGUUGAUAUGAACUCAGAUCCGAGAGGAUUGAGAACUGAUGGAUCGAGGGGUGACACUAAGGGUUGC
rnacentral:lncRNA from 1 species